rnacentral:tRNA from 1 species
GCGGAACUGGCGGAAUUGGUAGACGCGCUAGAUUCAGGUUCUAGUGUCCGAUUUAAAGGACAUUCGGGUUCAAGUCCCGAGUUCCGCA